rnacentral:rRNA from 1 species
UACGAAGGGGGCUAGCGUUGCUCGGAAUCACUGGGCGUAAAGCGCACGUAGGCGGACUCUUAAGUCGGUGGUGAAAUCCUGGAGCUCAACUCCAGAACUGCCUUCGAUACUGAGAGUCUCGAGUCCGAGAGAGGUGAGUGGAACUGCGAGUGUAGAGGUGAAAUUCGUAGAUAUUCGCAAGAACACCAGUGGCGAAGGCGGCUCACUGGCUCGGUACUGACGCUGAGGCGCGAAAGCGUGGGGAGCGAACAGG